AUAUAGCCAAGAACAAUUAUUCUGAAUAAGCUGAACUGUUAAAUUAUACAUUUCCUUUUAAAAGUAUUUUAAAUUGUUUUAUCUCCUAGGUUUCAUUUUCCAUUUGUUGAGAACCAUCAAGAGGUCUUUUUGUUCCCUAAGGUAGAGAUAAUGUGAAUAUCUCAAUUGUGCGCCCAGCAGACUUAAGAUCUGUUCAGACACCACGUUCAUCCUGCUUACUGCAGUGAAAGGAAUGCUUGGGGUGUGAGUAUUGUGUUGCGUUCCUUGUUUGAAACAUAAGAUAGUAGUUAUCAUGACAUUCACCAAGAAGAGAAAAGUGGGUGCACAGUGUCGGGUUGUUCAGGAAAAAUGGAGACAUCUUUAUUUUUCUGUGGAACAGAAUGAUAAACAAACUUGCCUGAUUUGUACACAGCAAAUAUCUGUCCCCAAAGAAUACAACAUUCAACAGCGUUAUGGAACUCAUAUGGAAAGUAUGAUAAAUAUGUUGGGGAACUACGGGAGGUAAAAAUUUCUAAACUGGAACAGUUGUUGAUGAAAGAGCAACCACUGUUUAAAAAGUCACAUUGAGUGAAGCUGCAUGUAAGGUAAGAUAUGACCCAUGAAAUAGCCCUCAUCAAAACUUUCAGAAGGGGAGUUUAUUAAGAGGUGUAUGAUCACGGCUGCAGAACAAGCCUGCCCAGAUCAGCGGCAGAGGCUUUGGCAGAUAUAAGCCUCUCAAGAAACACAGUUUCAGAGAGAAUUUGUGAUUUCUGACAAUCGUGACAGCCAACUUGCAGAAAAAGCAAAGUCCUUCUCUGUAAUGAAUGUUAAUAAAUCAAAAGUAUGUUCUCAGCUUACUUAAAAUUGCUACAGCACAGAGUUUGACUCCAGAUUUUGAUGCAGUUCAGCACAAGGGGUGUCAAUUAUCAAAGACUGUUAAAUAAAAAGAAACACUGGAAGAGUGUUAUUGUUUUAAACAUGUUUGUAUUUUAAGUAAAGAAGAAUUUCAUUAAUUGGCUUUGCUGAUGUCUUCUGUAAAGUUUGUAUUUCCAGUACUAGGCAUUAAAUUUUAUGGUGCAAAUGGCACAGCCUGACCAAGUGACAUUUAUAUCCAUCCCUUGUAACAAAUGAGUUUGACACUCAUGAUUUAACACAUUCAUAGACCAAGUUCACCUUGUUUUUAUUGGAAUAUGUAUUGUCUGGUACACAAAGAACAGAAGAAGACCCUACAAGAUGUAACAAAAGGGCAGUUAGAUAGGACACUGAGAUCCCCACCUUCUCUCCUGCUAAGUAUCAUUUCUUGUCGGUUUCUGGAUUGUGACACUUAGGGCAAUAUCCUGCUUCUCAGAGGUUGUACUCAGUCUCCUCUUUCUCACUAAGUGGUGUAGUUAGGAUAUUAUCUGUUUCCUAUUUACUAUUAAGUAUUAGUUCCUGAAUAAACUGAAUAAAGCUGCCAACAGUUUUAUAUCUUAGAGGAAUGUUGGAAUUUGUUGUUUGUCCUUUUAAUUGCAUUUUUUUCAUUUUAACAGUAUUUCUGAUUUGUCAAAUGUUUUAACGUUUUUUAUGUUCACCAACUUGAGGACCCUGCAGGGAUUGGAAAGCAGCAUUAAAAUGUUGUAAAUAAAUACCCUUAUGUCAAUAUCUUGACUCUCUCUCACGCACACAGGUUUCAACAUCCUGGUUUCAGGCCAAUAGUUAUGUAUUUUGUUAAACUCUGUCAUAGAGUGACUUAUAGCUGAAAAUAGGUCUGCAUUUUCCUUAUCUAUUGAAUGAAACGGAUAAAAAUAGACAUUUUUGAACAUUGCUUUUAUUCUGUAUGCUAAAAACAAAGCACUUAAGAUGCAAUACUGUUACUAGAAUAAAAUAUUAGCAAUUA